rnacentral:rRNA from 1 species
UACGGGGGGGGCGAAGCGUUGUUCGGAAUUACUGGGCGUAAAGGGCUCGUAGGCGGCCAACUAAGUCCGAUGUGAAAUCUCCCCGGCUCAACUGGGAAACUGCAUCGGAAACUGAUCGGCUUGAAGAUGGGAGAGGGUAGUGGAAUUCCCGGUGUAGUGGUGAAAUGCGUAGAUAUCGGGAGGAACACCAGUGGCGAAGGCGACUACCUGGCCCAUUCUUGACGCUGAGGCGCGAAAGCUAGGGGAGCGAACGGG